UAUUACAAAGUUUGUGCUGUUGUGAUAAUGCAAAUUAUAUUAUUUAGUCAUUUAUUGGUACAAGAAUCACAGCAAUAAUUUAUAACGAGUCUCGUUUGUUGCAAAAAAAAAUUAUUACUGAAACUAAUAAUUAUCAAUUACAAUAGUAUUUAUAGUUGGAAAAUUUUGAAUCUCUAGUGGUGUAGCUAGACUUUUAAUCAAAUCUAAUGAUGUUACAAAGUUUUGUGCCAAAAGAAGUAAGUUUCAUGUCACUAAUUCAUGUGGCUUUUGCCACUGCUCUGAUCUACCUAGUUGUCUCUCCCCUUCUACAACUAUAAUAAUGUGUGAGCCUGAGAACCACCAGAUUUUAGGAUUAGGGUUUUCAACAGAAGCCCACUAGAUAGGGGAUUACUAGUUAAUAUGAUUCCCUCUGACUAGGGUUAUGUUGCAAUGAAAGUGCAACAUCUGAUGGGUACUUGGAAUCAUUUGCUGUUCCUAACUUACAAAAAAGGGAAGUAACCCAUGAUCAGUAUGAUACAAGAGAUGUGGGGUCCAUCCCAUCACUUCAAAAAAAGGAUGGACAGUUAUAAGAUUUCCAUGGCCCCCAAAAUUGGGAAAAUGAUACUUGUGUGGUCCAUUUACCGCCUCUAUAUAUAUAUAUAUAUAUAUAUAUAUAUAUAGAAUUGAGCAUAGUAGCUUAAUUCUAUAUAUAUAUAUAUAUAUAUAUAUUGCAUAUCAAGUGAGCAAGCUUAAAAAUUAGGUACAAAAUUCAAUGAAUUAGCUAUGUGCAUGUUAAAGUAUAAAAAUAUAUAUCGUGAAUAUAAAAUGUUUCUGAAAAUGCGCGAGUCUGUGCAUAUUGUUUGUUAGAACGCUAAAAUAUAUAUUUCUAGCUCUUGCAUGCAUGGGUUAAUAUUCUUGGGUCUGAACUGACGGGAUUUGCGUAUCUAUCUCAUGCUAAGUCCUUAUAUACGCGCAAUUUUUAAUGAUAUUAACAUAGUAGAAAUUGACAACAUUAUUGGCAUAUUUUUAUGAGAUUUAAUACAUUUUUUUUUGUCAAUAACAAUUCUGAUUUUGCGUAUUAACAUCAUUGGUCCACGUUAAACACACACUCUAUGAUUGAAAGCACCAAUUGGUCCUUAGAAAAUUGAAGCAUCCUGAUACAUCUCUUUCUUUCAUUGUGUUUAUUGUCUACAUAUCUAGAUAUAUAUCCACUUAUCUCUCUCUCUCUCUGCCUAUCUAUAUACCUCCAUAUAUUUAUAAAACUACUGUAUAUAUAUAUAUAUAUAUAUAUAUAUAUAUAUAUAUAUAUAUAUAUAUAUGAUUUAAGGUUUUAUGAAUAUGCAACAUUAAUAAUAAUUUUGGAAAAAGAAAAAGAGGCACUGAAUUACCAGGAACUCGACGAGGGCGCUGAUGAGGUAGACGAGAUACGUGGAGAGGAUGGCAUCUGAGAGGAAACCGCCGAGGAGGGCAAGGAGAAAGGCGGUGCCCAUGAAGUUGGUGACGGUCGUGGCCGCACGCGACGGCGACAUGCGCAUCCACUUCAUCAAGUAGGUUACCAAGUUGCUAGCAUUAGCUAGAAAUGCCAAAUUCUCCAUCACCUCCACAACUACAUAUGUACACGCAUUAAUACAUCACCAUGCACAAAAAAACUUCGAUUUUAUUCAAUAUAAAGAAAAUAAUAAACUGAUUAUUAUUUCGUAGUUUUAAGUUAGGCUACUGAAUGAAGGAUCAAGUUUCAAUAUUCAAAUUGUUGAAGUAUUUCAAUUUGUUUGAAACAUUAAUAAAGCUAAUUAGUGGAAGCAAAAAGGAAUUAAUGAAAGGUUCGACCCCAAUUAGGAUGUAGGAGGAAACGAAUUCGAAGGAGACAAAAUAAGCUUUGAGACCCCGAAAAAGGUUUUUAAUUUUAAAAAAGUAUUAAUAUUUUUUAAAUAACUCUGUAUAUUUAAAUAUCAUUUCUCAGUAUGCUUAGACCAGGCCAAGUCCUUUAUGCAACUGGGAUAAUAUUAAAAGUUGUACAGCUUAAAAAGGAAUUCAAAAAAUAUUGGAGAAGUGCCAAUAAAGAGCUAGAAACAAGGAUCAUGUGUGUGGAAAAGAUAAAUAAGUUGUAGUCUAGCAGUUUGUUACUGUAAUUUGGGGCCUACCAUGAAAAAGAAAUGGGAAAAGUUAGACCCUAUAACAGUUACUAAAAGAAGAAGGAAAAUAACACAACAUAUAAACAUAUAUAUAUAUAUAUAUAUAUGUAAUACUUUUUUUUUUUGUCUCUAUUUAUUUUUUUUCCCAAAAACUAUAUUCUAAUUAAUUUCCUAAUUUCAUAAUGAGAUAAUUAAGAAUUUUGACAAGUAGGAAAAGAAAAAAAUUAAAUACCAAGGACAAAGGAAGCUGCAACCAUGCCUCCAUGUUUGGCUUUCAAAGCUGGCUUGUUCCUCCAAUCCACAUACCCCUCCCAUCUCUCCUGCUCAUGCCCUUGUUCCUGUUAUAUAUAUACAUGAAGAGAUCAUGAUCUAAGAGGACAAAUAUAUAUAAGAGAUCAAGAGAGAUCUAGAGAGAGAAAAGAAGAAGAAGAAGAAGAAGAAGAAGAAGAAGAAGAAGAAGAAUCCACAUGAAAGCAAAGUGGAGGAGAGAGAAAUAAAGAGAUAAUCUAGAGGGAUCUAGAGAGAGAAGGGGAGAGGGGUAAUAUUUUGGAAGGUGAAAGGAGAAGGAGCCCACCAUCUCCAUUUUCUUUCUCCUCCCCCUCUCCUCUCCUUGUCUAGUGUGUGUGGAGAAGAUGUGGAUGGAACAAGUUCAAGCCACACAGGAGAGCUGUGUCAUAUAGGAGCCUUAUUUAUAGGGUGAGGGGGCCUACAAUUACAAACAAAAAAGGUCCAAACCCAAAUCUCUCACCCUUCAUUUUCCAAAAUGAAUAAAUAAAUAAAUAAAUAAAUACAUUAUUAAUAACUAAGACAAAAACAUAUGGAGUGUCAACUUCAAGGUGAAUCCACAUAGAUUUUCUUUCUCCUAGAAGGUACCAUUAAGGGUUUGUUUUGUAACAUCUUUUACUUCUACUUUCGGCUAAAUUAAUUAUAAAAGUGUUUAAUUUUUAACAAAAUUGAACUUUUUGCUAUAGAAAUUUAGUAUAAUAAUUUUUGAAUAGCACUUUUUAUAUAAUAUUUUAUUUAAAAAAGAUACGAAUUACGGUGAUGAGCAGGUGUGGAGCUAAAAGUUAAGCGUAGCGAUUACACGAUGAAUAAUAAGUUUUCUUCCUUAAAAAAAUACUUUUCAUUUUCCUUCCCUCUAAUUUAUAAAUAUGUAUGUUUUUGUUCUUUUUAAACAUAAAAAAUGUAAAUUAUUUGGGUGGAUCAAUUCUAUUUUAUGGAGCUUGACCUUUUCGAAAAAAUUAAAAUUUUUUUUGUUUGAACUAAAUCACCAUUUUUAUUGUAUAUCUCAGUGUUAGCUAUCUUUUCUUUCAUCAUUCUUUAAAAUAUUCUCUACAGCAAGAUAAAUUUAAUUUUUCUAGAUUAAAAUUUAAUUUUUUACUAAGCGAGGAGAAUGUAAAAAUAAUAAAAUAAAGAGUAAAUUAUUGGAUGACCUACAAAAUAUGGCUAACCAGGUUUAAACAAUAAUUAUUUCUUCCUAUACAUAAAUAAGAGAAUUCUCCAAUAAGGGAUAGUAGGCCAAAACAGCUCUUAUACUUCAUUUCUGUAUUUGUAUUCUGAAUUUCCAUUUUUAAGAUGUGGUUAAAAAUUUCACACAAAAAUAGCAAAAGGCCUAAAAAGGGUGACACAAUACCCUAGCUAGUGAGGUUCUUCUUAUCUUUUGUAAGGCUCUUCUUCUUAUCCUUGCAAUAAAUAGCCUCCAAUUAAUGUAUGUAGUCAACAACAGGAUGAGAAGGAAUCAUAUCCAAUUGCCCUAGUAUUGAGAAUUGGCUCUUAGCAUUGUAUGUUGAAUCCUAUACUAUUGGUCAAAAACUUACAUUUUAAGUGUUAGAUAUGUCUCGAAAUUUGAUUAUCGAGUUCGGUUUUGUGUCUCUCAUUCACGGUGCAACAAUUUUCUUUUUUUUUUGUGUAGUAAAGUUUUUUUAUUCAUUGCUCACGAUUUUUUCUCUGCAAAUAAUUUUUCAUGUAGAUUCUUAUAUUCACUUUUUUUUUUUUUUUUUUACUGUUUUAUUGUUUGCCUAGUUUGCGAUUGCCAUUUUCAAUUUCUGUUACAGUAAGUUUUGACCAGGGCCAUCCUAUCUAAGCAUGUGGGUGACGACAAGUUUUUUGUACUCUAGCAGUGGUGAUGGGGAGUCCAAAAAUGAUUCAGUCUACAUUUUGGUUCCGUUUUUUAAACGACGUUUUCAGUAUAAGAAGCAUUAGUUAAAUAUUUGAUAAAUAAGCUGUUUAUAUAUAUAUNNNNNNNNNNNNNNNUAUAUAUAUAUUGUCGUGAAGGAAUGAUAAUGAUUAAGAUUUUAGAUUUUAAAAUUAAGAAAAUAUAUAUGCUAUGUUCUUCCUAAAUUUAACCUGUGAAAUUAAUGAGGUUAGUUUUGGACUUGGAAGUUUAUAAGAGAUAGGGUGUAAUGAUAUUUCAUAAAAUGAGUUAAUUUCUAAAAUGUGACUGCGGAUUCUAAAAAGAUUUCAACUUGGAUAAAAAUAAUGAUAAUAUCCUACAUUUAUAUUCUACAAUAUGCUAGAAUAUAAAUUAUAAUAAUUUUCUAUACACACAAGUACAUGACUUCUCUCUAAAUUAAUAAUUUGCAAACAGUUAUAGCUGCAGCGAACUGAACAACUCCUGUAACUCUCAUUUUCCCCUAUUCACAAGGAAAAUGCAAUAACCGAAAUAGUACCUAAUAUGUAAAGUAUUCGAAAGGGACCUCAAAAUUUAAGCUGCAAUUUAAAUCAAUGAAAUCAAGGGGUUGUUAUCAAUUCUCCUAAACAAGAAAAGUAAGGCUUUUAUUUUCUUUCAGAUCAAACAUUUUAAGCUGCAGCAUCGAGUUCAUUCUCGCGACACAUCACAUUGCUCUUGUUCAUGCACUGUAGCUGUUACCUCAUGUCGUGAUCGCCCACCGCCCGUUUGGGACCGGACGGUGAUUUGGACUUGCAUAUCUCAAUCGUAAACAGUGUGAUCGAAACCGCAUUUGAAAUACAUGCACUUUAAAGAGAACAGUUCUAGGUGUGAAACAACCGUUAUAUUCUAAAAGCUUAAGCUGUUAAAGAAUGGUGUUUAAAUAUUAUAUUUAACACUCCCCCUUAUGUCUGGGCUCGAGACUUUUUAGUCGACUCAUGACGUGGGCUUGAAUUAAAUGGGAGAAAAUUAAUAUGUUAGGAGUCUGGCAUGAUUCGAAUUCAGGACCUCCUGCUCUGAUACCAUGUGAAAUAAUUAAAGAACGGUGUUUAAACAUUAUAUUUAACAGUAGGGGACCAUUGCAAAAACACAUGUUGAAGAACUGAUACACAUGCAUGAAAAUGUACAUACCUUAAUAAGGGGGUUAUGUGCAAAAAUUUAAAAAAAAUUACAUUAAUUCCUUCAAUUUUAGGCGACUCUUAAAUAGACCCCCUCAAACUAUAUUUUAUUGGAUUGAUUCUUUCUUAAUUACUUUUGAUUUCUCAAAACUAAUGUAAUCAAUAUUUGUUCCAUCUAAAAACUAGUAAAAUUCAAAAUUUAACGUGACCAUCAGUAAGUUCAAUUGAAUUUCUGAUAUAUUUGAUGCAAAUAGCUUAAAUAAGAAGUUUAAUUAAAAUUUGAAGUGGCUAUAUUUGAAUAGACUAUAAUUGAGAAGGUCUAAACACCUAUUUUUGACCCUGGCGUUGACCGGUUAACUUUUGACUCAUAUAAUUUUGGGUCAGAAGUGGGCCGACCGCGGGUUUAACAAACAUGGUUUUGGAUCCAAAAGUGCUUUUGACUUUUUAAGCUUUCGGCUUGAUCGAAACGCAAUAUUUAUGCGUAACUAAAAAGCAUUUUUCACUUUAGUAGAUGUAUUUAUUUAUUUUGCUAACUCUAUCACAUAAAAUUUGACACGUAUGUAAGUUGUAAGGAACUUAAGUGUGGUCAACCCAGGUGAUGGACCCAUGAUGCAAAUCAACUCAUGAAUUUGGGUUAGGUGGCUCAUCCCGUGUCGCAUUGCCUUUUUUUUUUUUUAUCGAUUUGGAACAAAAAAAUUAAAAUAAAAUUAACUAGUUUGGCAGUAAUAAUUAUCAUUAAAAUUAUACCGACCCUUUCGCUAAGGGUUUAAUCCAAAUUCUAUGAAAAAUAAGCGAAAUGGUUAGCUUCCUACGUUUCCUCUAAAAAAAAAAAAAGUAAUAUAGAAAUUUUUGCUUUAAUUUUUGUGUUCAUUCUAUUAUUAUUACUUUCGUGUUCUUUUUGUUAUUAUAGAUAGCACUAUUAUCAUCAAAACUUGCCGUUCGAUAAAAUUCAACUUGUCGAAUUAAUGUUAGUGCUAAUCAAUAAUUCUUAAAAAUUGAGAUAUUAGAAAGAUACAAUAAAUUCACUUAAAGUGUAUAUAGACAACAUAUAGAUGUCUCAAUUUAGUCUCGGCCGAACUCAACCUUCCAUCAUUACCUUUGACUUUAAUAUCACUUGUCGGAUCGUUAGCACUAACCAUUAAUAUUAAAAGCUUGAGCUGUUAAAAAGAUAUAAUCAAUUCACUUAAAACGAAUAGACACGGCGUCCACAAGUUCGACUAUGACUCGGUCUAACCAGCCUCCUGUCACUUCGAAUAUGAUUCGAUCCAACUUGACCUCCCCUCAUUUCGAGUGUAACUCGGUCCAAUCUAGUCUCUUGUCACAGAGUAGAAUGCUUGUUUUUUUUAGCCAACAAAAAUCUAACCCGACCUCCCACUAUUUCAAAUAUGAUUCGGCCCAACCUGGCCUUCCAUCAUAGGUAGGAUGCCGGCCCUCUUAAGCCAGUAAAACUUCGGCAGCACUUGCACAAAUUUGUAGCAUGCAGAAAUUGAAUUAGUAACCCUUCGCUUUGAUAUCAAAUGAAAGACCUAAUGGUAAUUAAGAGGAGGGGUGAAUUGGUUGGCAUUUAAUUCUUCAAAGGAGUUCUCUAGUAUCCACGCGAGUAGAAUUGUUUAGAAUAUCUGGGGAUCAUUUCUUAUUAAAUCAACUUUCCGGAUUGCAAUAAUAACGUUUUGCGACUUACACGAAUAAAGCAGCUUAGAGAAGCACCGUUACCAAUUUGAUAAUGAAUUAAUUCUCUGGAGAAAUUUCUAGUUGGAUGCGUUAUUGGAUUCCGAAAGCCAUUUUGGCUGUUGCUGCGAACGAAAGAUCAUUUGAUUUUUUCAAGUAGGAAAGCUAAUUGUCACGAAGUUGGAAACAGAGAGCAGGAAAGAACAAUAGAUCGAUGAUCACUAUUCUUUUUUUCUUUUUUUUUUUGAGAUAUAGAUAGCACGCUACCCGCUUUGUUUAUUUUAUUUAGAAAUAAAAUUAACUAGAAAUGUGAAUCAAUUAGGAUUCGAACUUGGGUGUCAGGUACCAACCACCAAGCCCUUUGCCACUUGUUCUAGGGAUAGUCGGUGAUGUUCACUAUUCUAAACUGCAUAAAAGGUAUUGAGAUGCUUAAUUCACUAAAUUCGUAUUUUGUGCCCAAACAAGAUGCAUAGGAAAUAAAAAGAUUGUUCCUAUUUAACUUGGGUGGUUGGAUAGGAACAUUUUAUUUUGCAUGAACGCUCAACAAGGGAAUUGAUGCUUGUUGCGAGCCCUAAAGUAAUCCAUAUAUUCUAUCCUAAGUUCCUAGCAGUACUUGUAGUUGGACCGACCGUAUUUAGUGCAGUUGUUCAAAGCUUUUUGGAUAAUUGUGAAAAAAUUAUAUUACAUCUGAUGAGAAAAUAUAAAGAAAAAAUAUUUUGUUUGUUUCUAUACGUAAUAUCGUAUUUUACAUGCUACAUACAAUGAGAAAGAUUUGGGCUUGUUGAUGGUAAAAGAAGAAUGGUUUAAAGAUCUAAAAAUCCUUCGUGAAUCUCAUGGGAGGAAUAAAAGUAUAAAACCAGCUCCGCUGUCUCAAAUGAAAGCUCAAAUUAGUAGUAGAAUAAAUUUGGAACAACUU
rnacentral:lncRNA from 1 species